UACGGAGGAUCCGAGCGUUAUCCGGAUUUAUUGGGUUUAAAGGGUGCGUAGGCGGCUUUUUAAGUCAGCGGUGAAAUUUUGCAGCUUAACUGUAACAGUGCCGUUGAUACUGGGGAGCUAGGAUUUGGUUGCUGUGGGUGGAAUGUGUGGUGUAGCGGUGAAAUGCUUAGAUAUCACACAGAAUAUCAAUUGCGAAGGCAGCUCACAAAGCCAAGAUUGACGCUGAGGCACGAAAGUGUGGGGAUCAAACAGGAUUAGA
rnacentral:rRNA from 1 species